GCGGCAGGCCUAAUACAUGCAAGUCGAACGGCAGCGGGUCCAGCAAUGGAUGCCGGCGAGUGGCGCACGGGUGCGUAACGCGUAUGCAACCUACCUUUAACUGGAGGAUAGCCCCGAGAAAUCGGGAUUAAUACUCCAUAGAAUUAUGAAGUGGCAUCUCUUUAUAAUUAAAGCUCCGGCGGUUUUAGAUGGGCAUGCGUGACAUUAGCUUGUUGGUGAGGUAACGGCUCACCAAGGCGACGAUGUCUAGGGGUUCUGAGAGGAUUUUCCCCCACACUGGUACUGAGACACGGACCAGACUCCUACGGGAGGCAGCAGUAAGGAAUAUUGGGCAAUGGGCGCAAGCCUGACCCAGCCAUGCCGCGUGAAGGAUGACGGCCCUAUGGGUUGUAAACUUCUUUUGUACGGGAAAAAACCCCCGGUCGUGAACCGGGGUUGAUGGUACCGUAAGAAUAAGCAUCGGCUAACUCCGUGCCAGCAGCCGCGGUAAUACGGAGGAUGCAAGCGUUAUCCGGAUUCAUUGGGUUUAAAGGGUGCGCAGGCGGAAUGAUAAGUCAGUGGUGAAAUCCUACGGCUCAACUGUAGAACUGCCAUUGAUACUGUCCUUCUUGAGUACACUUGAAGUGGGCGGAAUGUGUCAUGUAGCGGUGAAAUGCUUAGAUAUGACACAGAACACCGAUCGCGAAGGCAGCUCACUAAUGUGUAACUGACGCUCAUGCACGAAAGCGUGGGGAUCAAACAGGAUUAGAUACCCUGGUAGUCCACGCUGUAAACGAUGAUCACUCGAUGUUGGCGAUAUACUGUCAGCGUCUAAGCGAAAGCAUUAAGUGAUCCACCUGGGGAGUACGGCCGCAAGGUUGAAACUCAAAUGAAUUGACGG
rnacentral:rRNA from 1 species